GUCUACUUAGCUCAGUGGUUAGAGCGUCCGUUUCAUAAGCUGAUUGUCACUAGUUCGAAUCUAGUAGUAGGCA
rnacentral:tRNA from 1 species